rnacentral:rRNA from 1 species
UACAGAGGGUGCAAACGUUGCUCGGAAUUAUUGGGCGUAAAGCGCGUGUAGGCGGCUUGUUAAGUUGGUCGUGAAAGCCCAUGGCUCAACCAUGGAAGUGCAACCAAAACUGGCAAGCUUGAGUUCUGAAGAGGAUGGCGGAAUUCCCAGUGUAGAGGUGAAAUUCGUAGAUAUCGGGAGGAACACCAGUGGCGAAGGCGGCGAUCUGGGAAGAUACUGACGCUGAGGUGCGAAAGCGUGGGGAGCAAACAGG